rnacentral:lncRNA from 1 species
CAAGGACCCAGCAAUUCCAUGUCUAGGUCUACACCUGACCAAAAUUCAUGUUUUUAUGCACUCAAAUACAUGUAUAAGAAUGAAUGGAUAGGAGUUCCCAUUAUGGUGCAGCAGAAAUGAAUCCAACUAGGAACCACAAGGUUACGGGUUCAAUCCCUGGCCUCGCUCAGUAGAUUAAGGAUCCAGUGCUGCAGGUGUGGCCCUAAAAGGAAAAAAAAAGAAAAAAAGAAUGAAUGGUCAGAGUUCCCAGUGUGUUGUCUCUCUGGCAGUGUGGGUUCUGUCCCUGGCCCAGCACAGUGGGUAGAUGAUUCAGUGUUGCUACAGCUGUGGCCUAGGUUGCAGCUGCGGCUAGAUUUGACCUCUGGACCAGAAACUUCCUUAUGCUGUUGGUGCAGCCAUUUUUAAAAAAAAAAAAGAAUGGGAUUCCCAUCAUGGCUCAGUGGAAAGGAAUCUGACUAGCAUCCAUGAAGGACGCAGGUUUGCUCUCAGGUCUUGCUCAGUGGGUUAAAGGAUCUGGAGUUGCUGUGGGCUGUAGUGUAGGUCACAGACAUGGUUCAGAUCCUGUGUUGCUGUGGCUGUGGCGUAGGCCGGCAGCUACAGCUCCAGUUGGACCCCAUCCUGAGAACCUCCAUAUGGCAUGGGUUUGGCCCUAAAAAGCAAAUAAAUAAAUAAUUUUACAUCAGGAGUAGAAUGGAUGAGUAAAUUGUUGUAUGUUCAUACUGUUAAAUACUAUGCAGCAACAAAAGUGAAUAAAUUACACCUAGGUGCCACAGCAUAGAUGAUGCUUAACAAUAUCGAGAGAAAGAAGCACAAAAAUGUAUACAUAAUAGUCCAAUUUUGGAGUUCCUGUUGCGGCGCAGUGGUUAACAAACCUGACUAGGAACCAUGAGGGUUAAGGAUGGUUAAGGAUUCGGCGUUGCUCAGUGGGUCAAGGAUUCAGCGUUGCCGUGAGCUGUGGUGUAGGUCGCAGACGUGGCUCGGAUCCCACGUUACUGUGGCUGUGGCGUAGGCCAGGGCUACAGCUCCGAUUAGACAGACUCCUAGCUUGGGAACCUCCAUACGCCAUGGGAGCGGCCCCAGAAAAGGCAAAAAGACGAAAACAAACAAACAAAAAAAACAUUUUAUGAAAAUCAACUAUUUUAUAGGUGCUAAAAAAUAUUUCCAAAAUCAGCCAUUAGGAAGUGUCUGUCAUGGCAGAGCAGAAACGAAUAUGACAAGGAACCAUAAGGUUGCAGAUUUAGUCUGUGGCCUCUCUCAGUGUGUUAAGGAUCUGGCGUUACCAUGAGCUGUGGUGUAGGUUGCAGACGCAGCUCAGAUCCUGCAGCUCCGAUUGGACCCCUAGCCUGGGAACCUCAAUAU